UAUUAUUUUAAUUAUUACAUAGUAAUAAUUCAGGCAAGAAUUAUUAAUGGUUUCUAAAACCAUUGGCUGAAAUGUUGUUGGGGAAGAGGAUGUUCACAGUCUCAAAGUAUCGUCCCAUAGAUUACUUACUAAUUACAAAGGGAAAAGGGAACUUUUAUGGUGGAGAAAUUUGGCAGAUACUGCUAUAACUAAGUGAUCAAACUUAACAUCAAUAAUAGACAAAUCAUCAUUAUGGCCUCUGAUGUGACAUAUGAGGACACAACACCACCUGCACAGAAUUCCUGCCAAAAAUAUUGAAUUUGAAUCUAAUCAAGAAUAAACAACCAAAUCAACCCAAAUUGAAGGACAUUCUGCAAAGCAACUGGCCUGGAUUCUUCAAACAGUCAGUGUCAUAAAAGACAAAAAGUCUGGGAACUAUCCCAGAUUAAAAGAAACUAACAAGACAUUCAACUAACUGCUAUCGAUGUGUAAUCGAUGAUUGGAUUUUGGAUACUGGAGGAAAAUUGGACUCUAAAGAAUAUUAUUAGCACAAGUACCAGGCACUGUUUCGGCACUUUACUGGGAUUGUCUCAUUUUAUUCUCACAAGAGCUCUGUGAGGAGGUACUAGUUUAAUGCCUAUUUUACAUAUGAAGAAACAGAGAGGAAGGUUACGUAACUGAUUACUGUCCUGUCCCAUUCAGUUUUAAGGGAAGAUGACUUUGGUUGAUGGAUUAGGCUGUC
rnacentral:lncRNA from 1 species